rnacentral:rRNA from 1 species
UUUGAUCUUGGCUCAUGACGAACGCUGGCGGCGUGCUUAACACAUGCAAGUCGAACGAUGAAGCCGGAGCUUGCUCUGGUGGAUUAGUGGCGAACGGGUGAGUAACACGUGAGUAACCUGCCCUUGACUCUGGAAUAAGCGUUGGAAACGACGUCUAAUACCGGAUACGAGCUUCCGCCGCAUGGUGAGGAGCUGGAAAGAAUUUCGGUCAAGGAUGGACUCGCGGCCUAUCAGGUAGUUGGUGAGGUAAUGGCUCACCAAGCCUACGACGGGUAGCCGGCCUGAGAGGGUGACCGGCCACACUGGAACUGAGACACGGUCCAGACUCUACGGGAGGCAGCAGUGGGGAAUAUUGCACAAUGGGCGCAAGCCUGAUGCAGCAACGCCGCGUGAGGGACGACGGCCUUCGGGUUGUAAACCUCUUUUAGUAGGGAAGAAGCGAAAGUGACGGUACCUGCAGAAAAAGCACCGGCUAACUACGUGCCAGCAGCCGCGGUAAUACGUAGGGUGCAAGCGUUAUCCGGAAUUAUUGGGCGUAAAGAGCUCGUAGGCGGUUUGUCGCGUCUGCUGUGAAAACUGGGGGCUCAACCCCCAGCCUGCAGUGGGUACCGGCAGACUAGAGUGCGGUAGGGGAGAUUGGAAUUCCUGGUGUAGCGGUGGAACGCGACGAUAUCAGGAGGAACACCGAUGGCGAAGGCAGAUCUCUGGGCCGUAACUGACGCUGAGG